CGGACGGGUGGUAGUAACGACGUGGGUAACCGUACGCCUCGUACGUAGGGUAGGGUAACAGUUAGAAAUGACUGCUAACACCGCAUAAGCGCACGGUAAGGCAUCUUAGUGUGUGAAAAUAUUCAUAGGUACAGGAUGGGCCCGCGUCUGAUUAGCCAGUUGGCAGGGUAACGGCCUACCAAAGCGACGAUCAGUAGCCGGCUUGAGAGAGUGAACGGCCACAUUGGGACUGAGACACGGCCCAAACUCCUACGGAAGGCAGCAG
rnacentral:rRNA from 1 species